GGGCUAACAACCAACAGGCAGAGAAGGUGCAUUACAUAAGAUCCCACCAUCUGAACCCCGAACAUCCUGAACAUCCUAUGGCCAGAACUGCAACAGAUUAACAACCACACAGGGUGUGGGGAGGAGAGGACACAUAAUAGACCUCUAUGUAAAAAGGACUGUCAUGUUUUCACUGGUUUAUAAAUGUGCACUCAAAAGAAAACUAGCUUAAUUCAGGGCUGGCUCUUGAUUAAUUUAAGGAGAUCAACAAGAAAAUGAACACUAAAAAGUGUUGAGCACUUCAGAUUAAAACAAAACAAAAAGAACCUCAGCAUUUUGACAUCGUAAACACGAUACCUAGUUUCAUUCCUUGGCCCAGUGGCUGUUGAGCUACAUGGCCAGGGAUGAGGAUACAGAGACGACACUGACCAGGACUUGGGGGCAUCAGCUGUGGUGCUCAAAGGUGCGCCGGGACAGCUAGAUGGGAUGCAGGGCUUCCCUGAGGCGGGAACCACUGAGGAUGUGGCAGUUUAGGGUAAAGAUGAGGGUAGUCUGGAGGGGUCACUUCUGAGGACCCCACGGGGCAGCCGACUACAACUGUGCAACACACACGCAAGUUUCACAGCCAGGUGUGGGAAAGACCUUCCUGGGUUUUUAGCCUUGGCUCCACCUUUCUGUGCCUCGGUUUCUUCAAUUUUAAAGCGGCGACCUACCUCAUAAGGCUGUUCUGAGAAUUAAAUGAGCUAGUCAGUGUAAGGCAUGUUGGCGCUUCCUAAGCGGCAAUGACCAUGACGGUCGCCUUGGAUUUAGUAACCGUUGGGGAGGGGGGGGUGUGGUGGGUGGUUCCAGAGGGCUGACGGGGUGAGGAGCAGAGUCUGGGGGCGUGCCCUCACAGCAGAAGCCACAAGGGAAACAGCCGCGGGUAACAAUCCCCCUUUUGUACUCUCCUACACCAUCGGGGGUUUCCCUGUGGGGCUGGCUCCAUAUGCAGACGGAAUUCUGAUAUGGCCGAGAACAUGCGGUCAAAGGUGAGUUUGUGGUCACUGGGAAAUGGGAGCCACAGUCAGGUCCUACCUUGGUGUGGGCACACUGAUGGCCUCCUUUGCAUCUUCUUCCAGCAACUUCGUGUAAGAUGCCGGGAACCAACCCCUCCUACAGGUAAGUAAUCUACACAGAAACCAACUUAACCACCUUACAGUAAAGCCUGUGCACCUACUUGUUGAAAUGAGGACACUAGCCUUUAAACUAUUUGUGGGCUAAAUCUUAACAAAAUCUAUCUAAUGUGCAUAUUAUCCUUGAGAAAUCCAAAGUCACAUUAAAAAAAAGGAAGACAAAGAGUAUUUAAAGUACUUUCUGAGGCGACUUCAUAUGAUCUAUUCAAGAAUCAAACUCAUCUGCAGAUGCACAGACAUAUAGAAAAUGGCCCGGAACAGAGUAUAACUCCGAUGAACUAAACUAGGAACUUAACUUUGGUAAAAAUACUACAGUGACCACAAGGACUCUGCUGCUCAACGGAGAUACAGCAGUUCCCUGAAGCAGCGGGCGGUCCUGACUCCUGCGCGGGCAGCAUCUACCCCAAGACUUACGCUUUAGUGGUGUCGUGCUCCCCAUAAAGCCAGCCGUCUUUCUCCUCAGGGACGAGCAGCGUGAGGACAUCUCCCUGGGCGAAGCUGAGCAAGCUCUGGUUCGCGCCUGCGGUGUGUGGGAAGAUGGUUUUCACCUUCUGCUUCUUCAUCAUGUUCAGUCCGGUUGCGACAGAAACCGAUCGCUGUAAACUGGGAUCAUCUGAAGAAUCUGUUAAAACUGAGCACGGCAGCGAUUGCUUUUCAAAGAGCGAUAACACGGCAAGUUCACACCAGCAAACCCCAGAAAGCCACCCACUCCUGUCUGCCAGCGAUCCUUCCACUUCAGCUCCACGCGCCGUAUCUCCGAGCCUUAGUCUUUGCCUGGACCAACGGACGGAUGGGCGGGGAACAGCGGCCUGAGGCCCCCCACCGAGGACGACCCUUGAGGCUAAAUGCUCUUCCCCACGCAGAGAGGACACACAGAGGCCAAGCCUCACCCGUGCUCUGAGGUAAUCAGAGGCCAGCUGAUGCAUCACCAGAGGGUCUGAUGCCUUCCUCACCCUCCUCUCCCAACAUGAAUCCCAAGGCAAGGCGGGAUCUCCUCAAACCCCACUGCCCACGCUCUGGGCUGCAAGGAACAAGAGGAGACUGGAAAUGCAGCUAUUCUCGCCGUGCUCACUAACUGAACCCUAAUCAGUGCCGUCCACACUUUGGAUGCUUCGCAGAUUCUGAGGGAAGGACUAGUUAUCAUCCACAGUGACUCAGUGGGAUCACAGCUAGCACGUGGCCUAGCUGGGCACCAGAUGUGGGUAGCCUGACCCCACAGCCCGGACUUUGAUACGUGAAGCGCUAUGUGACCUGUACAUUUCUGUCUCCCUUGGAGUGCGGGCUGAUACUUACCACUCCAAAGAAACAAAAUAGCCAUUCUGAAAAUCUCCUCUCCUGUCUCACCCAGGGCUGCAAAGGCUGCAGUCUGUGGCUCUCUCUAGCACAUGGCUUGAAGGCCAUGACUUUCAUGAGUGAGCCUCUGAGACACCUAUCACAGAAAGAGGGGUCUCUGGUGUCAAAAACUCUGCACAGAGCAGAGCCUAACCAAAGCUGCCUGAAAUGUCUGCAAACAGUAACUGGUCCUGAUUUAUUAAAACAGCAUCAACAGAAAUUUAAGCAGCGAGAACUUAAGUGUUCAGAAGGCAUGAAGUUCUCUGUUAGAGAUGAUGUAAAACGCUGAUUAUAAUUCAAACCAAGUCUACUGGUAAGAUUAAUAACCAUAAUUUUGUCAUGGGAACUUUAAUAGUUUAUUGAAAAAAUAAAUUUUAUUACAAUUGCCACCUAAUAUGGCACUCAGUGUGGAGGCUCUUUGUACAUUAUAUUUUAAAAUGUAACACCUUUCUUUUAAAAAAAAAAAUUUUUUUAAUGUUAAUUUUUGAGAGAGAUAGAGAGAGGCAGAGCACAAGCGGGGGAGGGACAGGGUAAGAGAGGGAGACACAGAAUCCGAAGCAGGCUCCAGGCUCUGAGCUGUCAGCACAGAGCCUAGUGUGGGGCUCAAACCCACAAACCGCGAGAUCAAGACAUGAGCCGAACAUGAGUCAGAUGCCCAACCGACUGAGCCACCCAGGUGCCCCUAAAAUGUAACACCUUUCAAUAGCACAAUUACUCUAUAUAAACAUGAAUCAGUACAUGGAAUUAGUAUGUGUUAAAGUGUCACUUAUAAAAUGUCUUACGGUUUUAUAAUAAACUCAUACCUUUAUUUAUUUUGAAGUGUAAGUUCCAAUAAGGCAAUGCUGAAUUCUACUUCAUGGUAACAUUUAUCCAAAAUAUUAAAAAAAAUUUAAAAAGGUAUUUAAAAAGGGGCACCUGGGUGGCUCAGUCAGUUGAGCAUCUGACUUCAGCUCAGGUUAUGAUCUCACAGUUUGUGAGUUCGAGCCCCACGUCAGGCUCUGUGCAGACAGCUCAGAGCCUAGAGCCUGCUUCAGAUCCUGUGUCUCCCUCUCUCUCUGCCCCUUCCCCGCUCAUGCUCUGUCUCUGUCUCUCAAAAAUGAAUAAACGUUAAAAAAAAUUUUUU